UGGGGAAUUUUGGACAAUGGGCGAAAGCCUGAUCCAGCCAUGCCGCGUGCAGGAUGAAGGCCUUCGGGUUGUAAACUGCUUUUGUACGGAACGAAAAGCCUCUUUCUAAUAAAGAGAGGUCAUGACGGUACCGUAAGAAUAAGCACCGGCUAACUACGUGCCAGCAGCCGCGGUAAUACGUAGGGUGCAAGCGUUAAUCGGAAUUACUGGGCGUAAAGCGUGCGCAGGCGGUUUUGUAAGACGGAGGUGAAAUCCCCGGGCUCAACCUGGGAACUGCCUUUGUGACUGCAAGGCUGGAGUGCGGCAGAGGGGGAUGGAAUUCCGCGUGUAGCAGUGAAAUGCGUAGAUAUGCGGAGGAACACCGAUGGCGAAGGCAAUCCCCUGGGCCUGCACUGACGCUCAUGCACGAAAGCGUGGGGAGCAAACAGGAUUAGAUACCCUGGUAGUCCACGCCCUAAACGAUGUCAACUGGUUGUUGGGUCUUCACUGACUCAGUAACGAAGCUAACGCGUGAAGUUGACCGCCUGGGGAGUUACGGCCGCAAGGUUGAAACUCAAAGGAAUUGACGGGG
rnacentral:rRNA from 1 species